CCUACGGGUGGCAGCAGUGAGGAAUAUUGGUCAAUGGGCGUGCGCCUGAACCAGCCAAGUAGCGUGAAGGAUGACUGCCCUACGGGUUGUAAACCUCUUUUAUCAAGGAAUAAAGUGCGGCACGUGUGCCGUUUUGUAUGUUCUUUAUGAAUAAGGCUCGGCUAACUCCGUGACCGCAGCCGCGGUAAUACGGAGGAUCCGAGCGUUAUCCGGAAUUAUUGGGUUUAAAGGGAGCGUAGAUGGGUUGGUAAGUCAGGUGUGAAAGUUUGGGGCUCAACCGUAAAAUUGCCGUUGAUACUGGCAGUCUUGAGUACAGGUGAGGUAGGCGGAAUUCGUGGUGUAGCGGUGAAAUGCUUAGAUAUCACGAAGAACUCCGAUUGCGAAGGCAGCUUACUAAACUGCCACUGACAUUGAUGCUCGAAAGUGUGGGUAUCAAACAGGAUUAGAUACCCGAGUAGUC
rnacentral:rRNA from 1 species